rnacentral:rRNA from 1 species
AGCCAAUAUUUCUCUCAUGCCUUUUCUCGUUCAUGGUUCGAUAUUCUGGUGUCCUAGGCGUAGAGGAACCACACCAAUCCAUCCCGAAUUUGGUGGUUAAACUCUACUGCGGUGACGAUAC